rnacentral:rRNA from 1 species
UGGGGAAUAUUGGACAAUGGGCGAAAGCCUGACCCAGCAACGCCGCGUGAGGGAUGAAGUAUUUCGGUAUGUAAACCUCGAAAGAAUGGGAAGAAUAAAUGACGGUACCAUUUAUAAGCUCCGGCUAACUACGUGCCAGCAGCCGCGGUAAUACGUAGGGAGCAAGCGUUGUUCGGAUUUACUGGGCGUAAAGGGCGCGUAGGCGGCGCGGUAAGUCACUUGUGAAAUCUCUGAGCUUAACUCAGAACGGCCAAGUGAUACUGCUGUGCUAGAGUGCGGAAGAGGCAACCGGAAUUCUUGGUGUAGCGGUGAAAUGCGUAGAUAUCAAGAGGAGCACCUGAGGCGAAGGCGGGUUGCUGGGCCGACACUGACGCUGAUGCGCGAAAGCCAGGGGAGCAAACG